CGAGCCUCUUUCGGCUUUGCAGUCUGUCCCGGUCCUUUGGAACGUGGCAAACGUGGAAGCCGAGAGGGUUCU
ensembl:miRNA